GGGUUGUGAGGUUAAGCGACUAAGCGUACACGGUGGAUGCCCUGGCAGUCAGAGGCGAUGAAGGACGUGCUAAUCUGCGAUAAGCGUCGGUAAGGUGAUAUGAACCGUUAUAACCGGCGAUUUCCGAAUGGGGAAACCCAGUGUGAUUCGUCACACUAUCAUUAACUGAAUCCAUAGGUUAAUGAGGCGAACCGGGGGAACUGAAACAUCUAAGUACCCCGAGGAAAAGAAAUCAACCGAGAUUCCCCCAGUAGCGGCGAGCGAACGGGGAGCAGCCCAGAGCCUGAAUCAGUGUGUGUGUUAGUGGAAGCGUCUGGAAAGGCGCGCGAUACAGGGUGACAGCCCCGUACACAAAAAUGCACAUGCUGUGAGCUCGAUGAGUAGGGCGGGACACGUGGUAUCCUGUCUGAAUAUGGGGGGACCAUCCUCCAAGGCUAAAUACUCCUGACUGACCGAUAGUGAACCAGUACCGUGAGGGAAAGGCGAAAAGAACCCCGGCGAGGGGAGUGAAAAAGAACCUGAAACCGUGUACGUACAAGCAGUGGGAGCACAGAGCAAUCUGUGUGACUGCGUACCUUUUGUAUAAUGGGUCAGCGACUUAUAUUCUGUAGCAAGGUUAACCGAAUAGGGGAGCCGAAGGGAAACCGAGUCUUAACUGGGCGUUAAGUUGCAGGGUAUAGACCCGAAACCCGGUGAUCUAGCCAUGGGCAGGUUGAAGGUUGGGUAACACUAACUGGAGGACCGAACCGACUAAUGUUGAAAAAUUAGCGGAUGACUUGUGGCUGGGGGUGAAAGGCCAAUCAAACCGGGAGAUAGCUGGUUCUCCCCGAAAGCUAUUUAGGUAGCGCCUCGUGAAUUCAUCUCCGGGGGUAGAGCACUGUUUCGGCAAGGGGGUCAUCCCGACUUACCAACCCGAUGCAAACUGCGAAUACCGGAGAAUGUUAUCACGGGAGACACACGGCGGGUGCUAACGUCCGUCGUGAAGAGGGAAACAACCCAGACCGCCAGCUAAGGUCCCAAAGUCAUGGUUAAGUGGGAAACGAUGUGGGAAGGCCCAGACAGCCAGGAUGUUGGCUUAGAAGCAGCCAUCAUUUAAAGAAAGCGUAAUAGCUCACUGGUCGAGUCGGCCUGCGCGGAAGAUGUAACGGGGCUAAACCAUGCACCGAAGCUGCGGCAGCGACGCUGAUGCGUUGUUGGGUAGGGGAGCGUUCUGUAAGCCUGCGAAGGUGUGCUGUGAGGCAUGCUGGAGGUAUCAGAAGUGCGAAUGCUGACAUAAGUAACGAUAAAGCGGGUGAAAAGCCCGCUCGCCGGAAGACCAAGGGUUCCUGUCCAACGUUAAUCGGGGCAGGGUGAGUCGACCCCUAAGGCGAGGCCGAAAGGCGUAGUCGAUGGGAAACAGGUUAAUAUUCCUGUACUUGGUGUUACUGCGAAGGGGGGACGGAGAAGGCUAUGUUGGCCGGGCGACGGUUGUCCCGGUUUAAGCGUGUAGGCUGGUUUUCCAGGCAAAUCCGGAAAAUCAAGGCUGAGGCGUGAUGACGAGGCACUACGGUGCUGAAGCAACAAAUGCCCUGCUUCCAGGAAAAGCCUCUAAGCAUCAGGUAACAUCAAAUCGUACCCCAAACCGACACAGGUGGUCAGGUAGAGAAUACCAAGGCGCUUGAGAGAACUCGGGUGAAGGAACUAGGCAAAAUGGUGCCGUAACUUCGGGAGAAGGCACGCUGAUAUGUAGGUGAAGCGACUUGCUCGUGGAGCUGAAAUCAGUCGAAGAUACCAGCUGGCUGCAACUGUUUAUUAAAAACACAGCACUGUGCAAACACGAAAGUGGACGUAUACGGUGUGACGCCUGCCCGGUGCCGGAAGGUUAAUUGAUGGGGUCAGCGCAAGCGAAGCUCUUGAUCGAAGCCCCGGUAAACGGCGGCCGUAACUAUAACGGUCCUAAGGUAGCGAAAUUCCUUGUCGGGUAAGUUCCGACCUGCACGAAUGGCGUAAUGAUGGCCAGGCUGUCUCCACCCGAGACUCAGUGAAAUUGAACUCGCUGUGAAGAUGCAGUGUACCCGCGGCAAGACGGAAAGACCCCGUGAACCUUUACUAUAGCUUGACACUGAACAUUGAGCCUUGAUGUGUAGGAUAGGUGGGAGGCUUUGAAGUGUGGACGCCAGUCUGCAUGGAGCCGACCUUGAAAUACCACCCUUUAAUGUUUGAUGUUCUAACGUUGACCCGUGAUCCGGGUUGCGGACAGUGUCUGGUGGGUAGUUUGACUGGGGCGGUCUCCUCCUAAAGAGUAACGGAGGAGCACGAAGGUUGGCUAAUCCUGGUCGGACAUCAGGAGGUUAGUGCAAUGGCAUAAGCCAGCUUGACUGCGAGCGUGACGGCGCGAGCAGGUGCGAAAGCAGGUCAUAGUGAUCCGGUGGUUCUGAAUGGAAGGGCCAUCGCUCAACGGAUAAAAGGUACUCCGGGGAUAACAGGCUGAUACCGCCCAAGAGUUCAUAUCGACGGCGGUGUUUGGCACCUCGAUGUCGGCUCAUCACAUCCUGGGGCUGAAGUAGGUCCCAAGGGUAUGGCUGUUCGCCAUUUAAAGUGGUACGCGAGCUGGGUUUAGAACGUCGUGAGACAGUUCGGUCCCUAUCUGCCGUGGGCGCUGGAGAAUUGAGGGGGGCUGCUCCUAGUACGAGAGGACCGGAGUGGACGCAUCACUGGUGUUCGGGUUGUCAUGCCAAUGGCACUGCCCGGUAGCUAAAUGCGGAAGAGAUAAGUGCUGAAAGCAUCUAAGCACGAAACUUGCCCCGAGAUGAGUUCUCCCUGACUCCUUGAGAGUCCUGAAGGAACGUUGAAGACGACGACGUUGAUAGGCCGGGUGUGUAAGCGCAGCGAUGCGUUGAGCUAACCGGUACUAAUGAACCGUGAGGCUUAACCUUACAACGCCGAAGGUGUUU
rnacentral:rRNA from 1 species